GAUGAACGCUGGCGGCGUGCCUAAUACAUGCAAGUCGAGCGAAUGGAUUAAGAGCUUGCUCUUAUGACGUUAGCGGCGGACGGGUAAGUAACACGUGGGUAACCUGCCCAUAAGACUGGGAUAACUCCGGGAAACCGGGGCUAAUACCGGAUAACAUUUUGAACCGCAUGGUUCGAAAUUGAAAGGCGGCUUCGGCUGUCACUUAUGGAUGGGCCCGCGUCGCAUUAGCUAGUUGGUGAGGUAACGGCUCACCAAGGCAACGAUGCGUAGCCGACCUGAGAGGGUGAUCGGCCACACUGGGACUGAGACACGGCCCAGACUCCUACGGGAGGCAGCAGUAGGGAAUCUUCCGCAAUGGACGAAAGUCUGACGGAGCAACGCCGCGUGAGUGAUGAAGGCUUUCGGGUCGUAAAACUCUGUUGUUAGGGAAGGACAAGUGCUAGUUGAAUAAGCCGGCACCUUGACGGUACCUAACCAGAAAGCCACGGCUAACUACGUGCCAGCAGCCGCCGUAA
rnacentral:rRNA from 1 species